CGGAUUGUAGUCUGCAACUCGACUACAUGAAGCUGGAAUCGCUAGUAAUCGCGGAUCAGAAUGCCGCGGUGAAUACGUUCCCGGGUCUUGUACACACCGCCCGUCACACCAUGGGAGUCGGUAACACCCGAAGUCGGUAGCCUAACCGUAAGGAGGGCGCCGCCGAAGGUGGGAUUGAUGACUGGGGUGAAGUCGUAACAAGGUACC
rnacentral:rRNA from 1 species